rnacentral:rRNA from 1 species
GGACGAACGCUGGCGGCGUGCCUAAUACAUGCAAGUCGUACGCUUCUUUUUCCACCGGAGCUUGCUCCACCGGAAAAAGAAGAGUGGCGAACGGGUGAGUAACACGUGGGUAACCUGCCCAUCAGAAGGGGAUAACACUUGGAAACAGGUGCUAAUACCGUAUAACAAUCGAAACCGCAUGGUUUUGAUUUGAAAGGCGCUUUCGGGUGUCGCUGAUGGAUGGACCCGCGGUGCAUUAGCUAGUUGGUGAGGUAACGGCUCACCAAGGCCACGAUGCAUAGCCGACCUGAGAGGGUGAUCGGCCACAUUGGGACUGAGACACGGCCCAAACUCCUACGGGAGGCAGCAGUAGGGAAUCUUCGGCAAUGGACGAAAGUCUGACCGAGCAACGCCGCGUGAGUGAAGAAGGUUUUCGGAUCGUAAAACUCUGUUGUUAGAGAAGAACAAGGAUGAGAGUAACUGUUCAUCCCUUGACGGUAUCUAACCAGAAAGCCACGGCUAACUACGUGCCAGCAGCCGCGGUAAUACGUAGGUGGCAAGCGUUGUCCGGAUUUAUUGGGCGUAAAGCGAGCGCAGGCGGUUUCUUAAGUCUGAUGUGAAAGCCCCCGGCUCAACCGGGGAGGGUCAUUGGAAACUGGGAGACUUGAGUGCAGAAGAGGAGAGUGGAAUUCCAUGUGUAGCGGUGAAAUGCGUAGAUAUAUGGAGGAACACCAGUGGCGAAGGCGGCUCUCUGGUCUGUAACUGACGCUGA